rnacentral:lncRNA from 1 species
CCGGUCCUCCCCACACGACUUUCACGGAUGCAAUCUCUUUAUUCCUCAACCUCUUCACUUCUCUCCCUUCGAUUCUCAAAGGCACAGUCUCGAUGGUCAAGUCAUCCCUCACUUGAACAUCGUCCGAUUCAAUCACGUGUGCCGGAUCAGACACAUACUUGCGCAACUGUGAUACAUGGAAAACAUCGUGCGAAUUCGCCAAUGAUGGCGGUAAUGCAAUCCUAUACGCAACUUUCCCAACUCGCUUCAAAAUCUCAAACGGUCCAAUAAACCUCGAUGUUAACUUCCGCGACUUCAACGCACGUCCUACUC